rnacentral:rRNA from 1 species
UGAUGCAGCGACGCCGCGUGGACGAUGAAGGCCUUCGGGUCGUAAAGUCCUUUCGGGUGGGAAGAAAUGGCCUGGAGCUUAUAUCUCCAGGCCUUGACUGUCCCACCGAAUGAAGCCCCGGUUAAUUCCUGGCCACCGCCCGCGGUAAUCCGAAGGGGGCCGCGUUUGCUCGAAAUUAUGGGCGUAAAGGGGGCGGUAGGCGGGAUGGUAAGUUUGAUGUGAAAUCCCGGGGUUCACCCGUGGAAUUGCUUCUCAUACUGCCGGAUUAAAGUCUGGGAGAGGGAAGCGGAUUUCCCGGUGUACCGGGGAAUUGCGUAAAUAUCGGAGGAACACCAUGGGCAAAGGCGGCUUCCUGGACCAGUACUGACGCUGAGGCGAAAAGCUAGGGGAGCAAACGGGAUUAAUACCCCUGGUGACCCUUACCUUAAACAAUGUGCUUUGUUGGGGGUAACGACCUCUCCA